UGCGCAGGCGGAACUUUAAGUCAGUGGUGAAAUCUUGCCGCUUAACGGUAAAAUUGCCAUUGAUACUGAAGUUCUUGAAUAUGGUUGAGGUAGGCGGAAUGUGUUGUGUAGCGGUGAAAUGCAUAGGUAUGACACAGAACGCCGAUUGCGAAGGCAGCUUACUAAGCCAUUAUUGACGCUGAGGCACGAAAGCGUGGGGAGCGAACAGGAUUAGAUACCCUGGUAGUCC
rnacentral:rRNA from 1 species